CCAUCGGUGGUUCAGUGGUAGAAUGCUUGCCUGUCACGCGGGCGGCCCGGGUUCGAUUCCCUGCUGAUGCA
rnacentral:tRNA from 1 species